rnacentral:rRNA from 1 species
UACGAAGGGGGCUAGCGUUGCUCGGAAUGACUGGGCGUAAAGGGCGCGUAGGCGGUUUGGUUCGUUAGGCGUGAAAUUCCUGGGCUCAACCUGGGGACUGCGUUUAAUACAGCCAGACUUGAGUGUGGAAGAGGGUCGUGGAAUUCCCAGUGUAGAGGUGAAAUUCGUAGAUAUUGGGAAGAACACCGGUGGCGAAGGCGGCGACCUGGUCCAUUACUGACGCUCAUGCACGAAAGCGUGGGGAGCAAACAGG